CACAGCUAGGGGAGCCAUUGCUCUGCCCACUGAAUGGAAGGGGAAACUGAAGUGCAGCCUCCUGAACUGAUUCUCCAAAGAUUACAUAACUGAUCAGUGGGAGAAUGGAACCACCCCUCCUCAGUAUAAGAAGCAUGCUGUGAUAUUGAGUCAAUUGGUUGCCCAAUCACAGACAUCUUUCACUGACAGAGUAACAGCAAUGCUCAUUUUCAAAUCAUAUGAGAAGGCCUUGCUAACUGAUGGUCGAUGCUCACAGGUGUGUGGGCUUUGAGCAGUCGCUACACCUUCCCUCUUCAGGCAUGAUGAGAGGAUUCCUGCAGCGUUUUGCAAGAGAGAUGAAGUUUCAUCAUGUUGUCCAGGCUGAUAUCCAACUCCUAGGCUCAAGUGAUCCUCCUACCUUGGCCUCUCAAAGUGCUGGGACUACAGACAUAAGACACUGCACCUGACCUCUGAUUCAUUUUAACUCAUAAAACUUUGAA